UACAGAGGUGGCAAGCGUUGUUCGGAAUUACUGGGCGUAAAGGGCGUGUAGGCGGACCUAUAAGUCUAUUCUGAAAGCUCCUGGCUAAACUGGGAGAGGCGAAUGGAGACUGUAGAUCUAGAGUGAGGAAGAGGAAAGUGGAAUUCCGCGUGUAGUGGUGAAAUGCGUAGAGAUGCGGAGGAACACCAGUGGCGAAAGCGACUUUCUGGUCCUUAACUGACGCUGAGGCGCGAAAGCAUGGGGAGCGAACGGG
rnacentral:rRNA from 1 species